rnacentral:rRNA from 1 species
GACGAACGCUGGCGGCGUGCUUAACACAUGCAAGUCGAACGGAAAGGCCCCUUUGGGGGUACUCGAGUGGCGAACGGGUGAGUAACACGUGAGUAACCUGCCCUUGACUUCGGGAUAACUUCAGGAAACUGGGGCUAAUACCGUAUAGGAAUCCUUGCUGCAUGGUGGGGGUUGGAAAGCUUCGGCGGUUUUGGAUGGACUCGCGGCUUAUCAGCUUGUUGGUGGGGUAGUGGCUUACCAAGGCUUUGACGGGUAGCCGGCCUGAGAGGGCGACCGGCCACAUUGGGACUGAGAUACGGCCCAGACUCCUACGGGAGGCAGCAGUGGGGAAUAUUGCACAAUGGGCGGAAGCCUGAUGCAGCAACGCCGCGUGCGGGAUGACGGCCUUCGGGUUGUAAACCGCUUUCAGCAGGGGCGAAGCUUGUGGUGACGGUACCUGCAGAAGAAGCACCGGCUAACUACGUG